CAUGGGAGUAACUCGAUUAAAAUAUGCAAAUUACCAGGCAUCAAAUUUUGCCAAAUAGCUUCCUUGCAGACGAAGAUUGUUGGGUGAUAUGGUUUGGCUGGGUUUCCUCUUCAAAUACAGAUGUGUCAUGUUAAACCGUACUGAUUAUAACGACGGACAGACUGUAUGCGGAUAACGACAGCAUCCGGAGGAAUCGUAUAGGAGAAACGAGUUUGAAGCGAAUUUAUUUCUGAAUCAUAAAAUCGUUAGCUUUUUGAGCAGCAUCACAAAUACAACAAAGGUGAAUAGUUGGUCUGUCAAAACUAUGACAAUUUAUGGUGUCAGUGUCCGGU